rnacentral:misc_RNA from 1 species
AACGCACAUUGCGCCCGCCAGUAUUCUGGCGGGCAUGCCUGUUCGAGCGUCAUUUCAACCCUCAAGCCCGGCUUGGUGUUGGGGUCCUGUUUGUCAAAAACAGGCCCUGAAAUACAGUGGCGAGCUCACCUGGACUCCGAGCGUAGUAGUUAACGUCGCUCAGGGCGUCCGGCGGGUUUCUGCCGUAAAAUCCUCCAUUUUACAGAAGGUUGACCUCGGAUCAGGUAGGAAUACCCGCUGAACUUAA